GACGAACGCUGGCGGCGUGCUUAACACAUGCAAGUCGAACGGAAAGGCCCCCACUUUUUUGGUGGGGGUGCUCGAGUGGCGAACGGGUGAGUAACACGUGGGUGAUCUGCCCUGUACUUCGGGAUAAGCUUGGGAAACUGGGUCUAAUACCGGAUAGGACCAUGGUUUAGUGUCUCAUGGUGGAAAAAUUAUUGUUUUGGUGCAGGAUGAGCUCGCGGCCUAUCAGCUUGUUGGUGGGGUAAUGGCCUACCAAGGCGUCGACGGGUAGCCGGCCUGAGAGGGUGGACGGCCACAGUGGGACUGAGAUACGGCCCAGACUCAUACGGGAGGCAGCAGUGGGGAAUAUGGCACAAUGGGCGCAAGCCUGAUGCAGCGACGCCGCGUGGGGGAUGACGGCCUUCGGGUGGUAAACUCCUUUCGUUAGGGACGAAGCCGCACCUUUUUUGGGUGUGGUGACGGUACCUUUGUUAAGAAGCACCGGCUAACUACGUG
rnacentral:rRNA from 1 species